AUGUACACUGCUUAAGAGCUGGGUCACUUUUAAGGUUUCCACUAAGAUGCAAGAAAAAAUUUCCUCGUGAUUUCUCUCUGCCUGAUUGUGGCAAUCUAGAUUAAAUAGGAGAAUACAAUA
rnacentral:snoRNA from 1 species